rnacentral:rRNA from 1 species
UACGUAGGGUGCGAGCGUUGUCCGGAUUUAUUGGGCGUAAAGAGCUCGUAGGCGGUUUGUCGCGUCGGCCGUGAAAUCUCCACGCUUAACGUGGAGCGUGCGGUCGAUACGGGCAGACUUGAGUUCGGUAGGGGAGACUGGAAUUCCUGGUGUAGCGGUGAAAUGCGUAGAUAUCAAGUGGAACACCAGUGGCGAAGGCGAGUCUCUGGACAUUUCCUGACGCUGAGGCACGAAAGCCAGGGGAGCAAACGGG